rnacentral:rRNA from 1 species
GACGAACGCUGGCGGCGUGCCUAAUACAUGCAAGUAGAACGCUGAAGGAGGAGCUUGCUCUUCUGGAUGAGUUGCGAACGGGUGAGUAACGCGUAGGUAACCUGCCUGGUAGCGGGGGAUAACUAUUGGAAACGAUAGCUAAUACCGCAUAACAGCAGAUGUUGCAUGACAUUUACUUAAAAGGUGCAAUUGCAUCACUACCAGAUGGACCUGCGUCGUAUUAGCUAGUUGGUGGGGUAACGGCUCACCAAGGCGACGAUACAUAGCCGACCUGAGAGGGUGAUCGGCCACACUGGGACUGAGACACGGCCCAGACUCCUACGGGAGGCAGCAGUAGGGAAUCUUCGGCAAUGGACGGAAGUCUGACCGAGCAACGCCGCGUGAGUGAAGAAGGUUUUCGGAUCGUAAAGCUCUGUUGUAAGAGAAGAACGAGUGUGAGAGUGGAAAGUUCACACUGUGACGGUAUCUUACCAGAAAGGGACGGCUAACUACGUG